AUAUGAGAGCAAAAUACUUACAGGAUUAAUACUAAUGCUCCACAUCAUUCUCCCAGAAUAUCAUCUAAAGAUCACACAUAUGAAAUCAAACCUAAAAGACUCUUAUGGGUUAACUUCCAACAUAACUGUACUCAAAAAUCCCCACCCAAUGUACAGACCUGGAACAAGUUUUUCUAAGACAGUACAUCAAUUACCCUAGUGAGAGGCCAGUACACCAUGCCUCUUUGACUUGAUUUACCAACUAAAAUUCAUCUUGGAAACUCCCCAUGAAACACUAGAAAAAAAUGAUCAGCCUCAUAAUAAAAAACUUGGUGGCAGUGUUUAUUUUUUGUAUCCUAGAACUUCUGAUUAUCUAUUUUAUUAAAAGUAACAAAUGAUUUUCUUUGAUUGUCCACAAGUUCAAAGCACCUCACAGUUUAAUUAAAAAACUGACCUCUAGCUAUGCUCCCUGUGAUGAAAUAACUUAUCUUUUGUAGAAGCUUUGUGUAGGUUGUCAGAAUCAUUAGUAACAAUAUAAGUGUGUAGAAUGAUCACAGAAUGUUAAUCAAACAAUUUGUUAAAAGUUAAUAUAUCACUUAUCCAAUUAUCUGCAUUUGAACAUGUAUGUUGAAUAAUGUAGCUAUGUGCCAGCUAGUAACUGUCUAAAGCCAGAUUUAUACUCAAGAAGAUGAGUCUUUCUGACUUCAGUCUAGUAUUUUAUUCACCAUACCACUUAUAUGUAUAACAUCAUAUUAUAAAUUACAUACAUACAUAUAUUAUCUCUGCAUAUAUAAGCACAUGCAUAUGUGUAUGGAACAGCUUAUAUGCAUACAUAAAUGUGAAGGUGCAUAUGUAUACUUUCCCAUGCACAUUCAUUCACAUGUAUACAUACCCUUUCUCUGUUCAAGGGAAUAUUUUCUGCACAUCAUUGGAGUAUAAAAAUAAAGCCAACCCUGGGAUUAGAGAAGCAGUUCCAUUCAAAGCCUGGCCCAGGCUGACACUCCCAACUGUCUUCCAUCACUCAUUUACGCCUUCAUUGCCAUACCUAGUCGAGGACCCCAUGGACAGGGCAGUAUCCAAGACCAAGGCAAGAACCUGCAAUAUCUCAAGGUAUAACUAUAUAUAUAUUCAUGCAUCUAUGAUGAUAUAUAUAUAUAUAUGUGUGUAUGUGUGCGUGUGUGUGUGUGUGUGUAUGUGUGUUCUACCUAUGAUACUUUUAUUUUAG
ensembl:lncRNA